UUUCCGUAGGUGAACCUGCGGAAGGAUCAUUACCGAGUGAGGGUCUCUCAGGCCCGACCUCCCACCCUGUGUUUUUGUGACCUUGUUGCUUUGGCGGGCCCGCCUCGAUGAGAGGCCGCCGGAAGCUCACCGCUUUGGGCCCGUGCCCGCCAGUAGCCCCCUUAAAUUCUUAAUAAACCUGUCGUCUGAGUAUAGAUAUAAUAAAAAAAACUUUCAACAACGGAUCUCUUGGUUCUG
rnacentral:misc_RNA from 1 species